AAUCUUACCACCAUAGCUACAAAGAAACUUGAUAGUUUCUGCGCUUCUCUUUGAUUCACUAUCGCUCACCAUGUUUCCCUUCGGAGUGUACUUCUGUAAAGGGAAAGGAAGUCUGGGGUUCAAUUGGAAAAUAAGAUAGACCGAAGAGAAAAUUCUGGCGAGGAAAGGAAUGGUUGCUGAAACUGAAGAGGAGAGGAUAGCUUG
rnacentral:misc_RNA from 1 species